CAGGGAGACAACAAAAUGUUUAAUAUUAUUAUUUUGUCACCUUAGGUCGAUCGGUAUCUCACGUUUUUAAUUUAUUAAAAAUUUCAUUUCCUAAGUUUUUCUAGGUCACACCCAUUAUUUUUCCUGGGCCAUUAGCUCAGGUGGUUAGAGCGCACCCCUGAUAAGGGUGAGGUCCCUGGUUCAAGUCCAGGAUGGCCCAUAUCUCUAUGUUGGGGGUAUAGCUCAGUUGGUAGAGCGCCUGCUUUGCAAGCAGGAUGUCAGCGGUUCGAGUCCGCUUACCUCCACUGAUUACCACCUCUUCCAUAAUCUGUUGAAAGGAAAUCUUUUGAGUUGUGAUCAAAUUCUGAACGAAUCUAGCUUCCUAAUGUAACAAUUAAGAUGCUGGACUCAUUGAAUUAAUUUCAUUGUUUUCAGAGAACCUUGACAACUGCAUAGAUUAUUUUUUUAAAGACAAUAAGCAUCUUUAAUGAUGCAGAUUUAUUAUUUGUGCGAAUGCAUUAAUAACAAUUCUAUUAAGCUGAUGCUUCA
rnacentral:tRNA from 1 species